UCAUUUUUGGCUUUUCUGUAUUGGUGUGCGGGGCUGCUACGUGCUCGGCUUAGAGAAUUAGAAGGGUCCGUCUCUUUUUGCCCACUGGAGUCUGGCACUUGGGGCACUGCCUCCCUGUUGGUGGUGGUGGUGAUGGAGCUGUAGGAGGGAGGCUAGCAGUGGGAGCUUCUCCUGCUGGGCUGGAAGACAAGCAGAAGGAAGAGGCACCACCGCAUGCUGGAGGCUGGAGCCACGGCGGCUUGCCUCGCUGCGGUUGGUGGUGACAUCGGAGACCGCAGCUACGAGCUAAAGCAAGCUCAGUACUACUGGUGAUUUGGAAAGUGCCUUCAUAUUGUUUUUGCCAGUUCUCACCUGAGAACCCUGCAGAUGCCCCAUGAGAGGUAAAUCUAAGGCCAUUUAGGGAGGGGCUGUGAUCUUGGUUCUGAAGCUGUUGGUCUCAGAGGCCUGUUGGUCUCACUUCCCUGUCCUUGAUUUGUUCUCUCCUACCACCUUUGGUUUCCCUACAUUCUAGUCGUUAGACGGAGUCUGUGCCUUGCCACACUUCUCUCUUUAAUCCAUAUUAAUCCUAGUGGUGAGGAGGUGAUGUGGUGGGCAGGGAAGCAGUAAAUGUUCUUGACAUUGAAUUCCAAUGAUUUCUUGCUGUGCUUUCUCUAGGCUGUGCCCUUUACAAGGAGUCUCCAGUGAUACAGCUGAUUUUCCUCCAUACUCUAAUCCCCUUCAUGGCUGCAGCAUCAACAGAUUGCUCUCUUGAAUCUGACCCCAGUUGUUUUAUUAAUUAUACCCCUUUUUGUGACACAGGAAGGCUAAGAUGAAGCUGUCUUGGAUGGAAAAGAAUUCGUUCUCCUCACAUGGAAUAAAGAUCUUGAAAAGUAUUUUUUCUAUGUAGGGUCUGUCCGGACAAAGUUCUGGGCAUAUUUAUCAGAGAACAGUUCUCCUGAUAUCAGAGCCAUGAGGGAAUCUGUUUGGAUUCUCAUCUUGAGAACCCAGAAGUUUCUGGAGGGAAAUUUCAUAAAAGUGUGGGGUGCGUGGCCCCCAGGAGUUCUUACCCUACCCUAUCCACACUUGUCUGCUAGGCAUUUAUGGAAUUAUCAUGUAACUGUUUCCACCAGCUUGUGCUUUCAAUGGAAGAAUCACCCAAUUUAUAAAUUUAGAAAAGAAACUUUAUUUCUGAUAAAUGGGUGAAGCUGCAGGAUGGCCAUCUUAACAGGCCGGAAAGCAAAGCCUCCCACAGAGACAGUGAGCAGGCACUUCAAGAGAGGGAAAGGUGAGAAAUGAGUUCAUGCAAAUGGAUUGGCCAAGUGCACAUACUCAGCGGGCUAUAGAAGGAGCUAUGAAUAUUCACAUGGUGGGCAGGCUGUCAUGCAUAAUAAGCAAACACAGAUGUUACAUGCAUUUCAUGUUUGCUUUGGGGCGAGGACUUAAGAACUAAACAAAUUACAGUUGGGCCGUGUACAUCAAAAGGGCUUUGUGCAGAGGCAGAAGGACACACAGUGCACAGCCUCCAUAAUUUGGCAAGGACAAGUCCAUGGUGAGUGGUCUCUUCUCAGGAGAAAGUUACUGAAAUCAGUCCUUCUCCAUUCAAAGCUCUUUUUAUGGCUGUGGAACGGGCACAGUUACCCAGUGUCUUGAGUUCCAUGAGCUGCAAAUAUUUUAAUAUUCUUAUCGUAGGACCAGUGCUUUUUAGCUGCUAGAGAAAAUGAAAAGCCCUGUGGCAGUUACAACAUAGUCUAUUUUUUAAGUGUAGGAGUGAGUGACUUAAUUUUUGCUUGAUGUGGACUUGGGUCUUGUUUAUAAUUUGGUAUCUUAUUGCCACAACAAGAUUGUUCCAUCAGUCUGAUGAUCUCUAUUUUAAUGUCUUUCUAGUUUUUGGGUCUUGGUUUUCCCUGCAAUUUGAUUUCUUAAAUAGAUCCAAGAAGUUAUUGAUAAUCAAUUUUCCAGGCUUUCAUUGUUGUAGGAAUGUAGGGGAUGACUGACAUGCUCUUUACAUAUUAAAGUGGAAAACAGAAGUAGCUUCAGAGAUCACCAUUGACCUGACAAGCAGCAGGAAUCUCAUCUCGUUAAGUGUAAGUGGCACCACAGAUGUAGCUGAACAUGCAGUGACACAGAAGACCCACACCACAGAACACAUGAAAAAUUUUAUGAUUCUGAGGUUUUCUCCAGGAAGCUGGAACUCAGGUGGUACUACAGAGAUGGACUCAGUUAUCUCUCAGGUGAUACUAUGUUUUGGAAGCUUAUUUCCACUCCUGCACUGGACUCAUUAGCUGCACCUCGACCAGCACACCUAAAACAGAAACUCUCAAUAAUUAAGCACAAAACUCACCAAUAAUAAAGCUGUCCCCAGAGAAGGUGCAGAGCAGGGAACUCUGCUUUUGGGAACAUGCUGGUGUGCAGGGAGUGUCAGGAGCGUGACCCAUUUCCUUCUGCUCCCCCUGCUGGCUUCACAGACAACUGCAUCCAGGAGCUUUAUGUUGCAAAGUAUAUAAAAUAUGUUAUAAUUGUAGAGAAAUGUAAUACACAGAUUAAGGAAUGAGGAACGUACAUGAAAUUAAACAUAAUAUUAUCACGGAUAAGACAACAAACAAAUAUUAAAAACCUGUGUGUGUACGUGUUUGAGAUAGUAUUCUUGUAAAUUAAAUCAUAAUUUGUUUAUAAAGUCCUUCAACUAUGUACAAAAUCUUUGCCUUUGAUUGCCACAAAGAUGAAGAAGGAUGUGGCACCAGGACUCCAGGGCCAUGCUAGUGAUUUCCCCUCCUAUCUCCUGAGGACACGGUGCUUCCAACUCUGAGGAUCAGGAUGCUGAAAUUGGCUGUGUGAGAAGAGAAAAUGGGAUUUUCUGUGGGAACAGACUAGUGUGAAUGUAACUUUCAAGCAAGUAAGUUUAUUCUACCAUGAGACACACAGCUAUCAUGCUGACUGUGUGUUGCUUUUGACAUUAAUAUGAUAUUAUCAGUAUUGGGUUGUUCCAUGGAAAAUGACCAAUUGUCUCAGAAUUAACUGGAGUCGUUUUCAUUUCAGUUUUUUCACACUUCUAGCUAAAUCACCUAAUUUUACUGUGUUUGAGCUUGGAAAGUUUCAGGGCGUGGGUUACAAAUGAUGGAGUGGAAGGUCUCCCAAGAGUUAGAUGUGGUUCUGCUAAAGGAUGACCCAGGAUUUGUCCAGAAGCUCCCCUCCUUGUCUGUCCCAGCACUUGCUCCUCAGUGCGCCCCAUCCUGCCAGAGUGCUGAGCUUCUCUGCGUUCCUGGACAAUGCACGUCUGGGGCAUCUGCUUCCUAGAUGUGCAUACAUAGGGCGGGCUGCUCUUCAUAAUGGUUGAGAGGGAGCUGGGCCUGGAUCCACCCAGGUGGCCCUACCACUGUGAACUGGGCUUCCUCCCAGCAAGGAGACAAGGAAACCAGCUUCUGCUCUCUGACAUAUAUCACCUGGUUUGUGCCAAGAGCAUUAACCCUGGGAGCUCCUCCCAAAAAAAUGGUUGUGCACAGGGGAGAUGUUAAGCUAUGGCUGCUCCUGGGACUCAUCGGAGAUUCCUGAUGGGCAUCUGUAAUCAGGAAGUCAUCAACAGCCUUGCCGGACUUAACUUGCUCCACAGGUUAACUAGGAAGCACCACCAAACUCCCACAUUUCCCCAUCACUAGUUGUAAGACUGGCAUCCUGGCCUGACAGUGUCUACAGCCUCACCCAGCCUCCUGUGUGUUUUUCUGCCUGCCUUACUUACAUCUCACUUUGGGACAAAUAAGAAAUUUUUUAAAUAAACUUUUCUAAUCUAGAGACCUCAGUGGUAGGCACAGAAACACAAAUAUAGAGAGGCUCCCAGGGAAACUGUUCGAUGGAGAGGAAGCCACAGACCCUGAAGGAAAGCGGCCCUUGACCUUCAACUGCACCUGCCCUGGGGAUGCCCCUAACUUCUGUGGGAGUGAGUGCCCUCUGCAGCCCAGGCUCCUUCCUUCUCUCUGCAGGAUAUUUUGCGUUUUGGCUGACACUGGUGUUCCCUCACUUGGUACCUUAUGUACAAUAAUACGAGGCCAUGUUCUCAGCUCUGACUGUUCAUUCACAGGUACAGUGAGUUCUUGGCAUUGUCUUUGGAAA
rnacentral:lncRNA from 10 species